rnacentral:rRNA from 1 species
GACAGAGGCCUCGAGCGUUAGGCGGAAUCACUGGGCUUAAAGGGCGCGUAGGCGGGCUGUCAAGUCUGGGGUGAAAUCCCGCGGCUCAACCGUGGAACUGCCUUAGAUACUGACGGCCUCGAGGGAGGUAGGGGCGAGCGGAACUGUGAGUGGAGCGGUGAAAUGCGUUGAUAUUCACAGGAACGUCCGGUGCGAAGGCGGCUCGCUGGACCUCUUCUGACGCUGAGGCGCGAAAGCUAGGG